AUGCAGACAAACAACACCGAAGACGUCUUCAAAACGCUUGAUGAGAUUGAGUUCCCAGAGAUGGUAGAGCCCCUGAGGGCUGCAUUGGAAGGGAAAAACCAUAAUGCUUUCUUACAGCUGCUGUAG
rnacentral:rRNA from 1 species